rnacentral:rRNA from 1 species
CAAGGCGACGAUGAUUAGCCGAUCUGAGAGGAUGACCGGCCACACUGGGACUGAGAUACGGCCCAGACUCCUACGGGAGGCAGCAGUUAGGAAUAUUGGGCAAUGGAGGAAACUCUGACCCAGCAACGCCGCGUGAAGGAAGAAGGUUUUCGGACUGUAAACUUCUGAUCUAAGGGAAAAAGAAAGUGAUGGUACCUUAGGAGAAAGCCACGGCUAACUAC